rnacentral:rRNA from 1 species
UGGGGAAUAUUUCACAAUGGGCGCAAGCCUGAUGCAGCCAUGCCGCGUGUAUGAAGAAGGCCUUCGGGUUGUAAAGUACUUUCAGUCGGGAGGAAGGUGGUAAGGUUAAUAACCUUGGCAAUUGACGUUACCGACAGAAGAAGCACCGGCUAACUCCGUGCCAGCAGCCGCGGUAAUACGGAGGGUGCAAGCGUUAAUCGGAAUUACUGGGCGUAAAGCGCACGCAGGCGGUUGAUUGAGUCAGAUGUGAAAUCCCCGGGCUUAACCCGGGAAUUGCAUCUGAUACUGGUCAGCUAGAGUCUUGUAGAGGGGGGUAGAAUUCCAUGUGUAGCGGUGAAAUGCGUAGAGAUGUGGAGGAAUACCGGUGGCGAAGGCGGCCCCCUGGACAAAGACUGACGCUCAGGUGCGAAAGCGUGGGGAGCAAACAGG